rnacentral:rRNA from 1 species
AUCUACAGCAAUACCACUCUGAAAUGUGCCCGAUUUCAUCUGACCUAGGAAGCUAAGCAGGGUUGGGCCUGGUUAGUACUUGAAUGGGAGUCUUUCCUAUUUUUGGUGCCCAAAUU